CAGCAGCCGCGGUAAUACAGAGGGUGCGAGCGUUAAUCGGAUUUACUGGGCGUAAAGCGUGCGUAGGCGGCUUCUUAAGUCGGAUGUGAAAUCCCUGAGCUUAACUUAGGAAUUGCAUUCGAUACUGGGAAGCUAGAGUAUGGGAGAGGAUGGUAGAAUUCCAGGUGUAGCGGUGAGAUGCGUAGAGAUCUGGAGGAAUACCGAUGGCGAAGGCAGCCAUCUGGCCUAAUACUGACGCUGAGGUACGAAAGCAUGGGGAGCAAACAGGAUUAGAUACCCCAGUAGUCCCUGUCUCUUAUAC
rnacentral:rRNA from 1 species